AGCAGCCGCGGUAAUUCCAGCUCCAAUAGCGUAUAUUAAAGUUGCUGCAGUUAAAAAGCUCGUAGUUGAAUUUCGGGAUCAAUAUGCUGGUCGUGCCUUUGGUACGUACUGGCAUUAUUGGUUUCUCCUUUCUGAUGAAUCACGAUGUCAUUAAUUUGGUGUCAUGGGGAAUCAGGACUGUUACUUUAGAAAAAUUAGAGUGUUUAAAGCAGGUUUACGCUUGAAUACAUUAGCAUGGAAUAAUGAAAUAGGACGUUUAAUUCUAUUUUGUUGGUUUCUAGGAUUGACAUAAUGAUUAAUAGGGAUAGUUGGGGGCAUUAGUAUUCAAUUGUCAGAGGUGAAAUUCUUGGAUUUAUUGAAGACUAACUACUGCGAAAGCAUUUGCCAAGGAUGUUUUCAUUAAUCAAGAACGAAAGUUAGGGGAUCGAAGACGAUCAGAUACCGUCGUAGUCUUAACCAUAAACUAUGCCGACUAGGGAUCGGAUGAUGUUAAUUUAUGACUCUACG
rnacentral:rRNA from 1 species